rnacentral:rRNA from 1 species
CGUGAUGACGAGGCACUACGGUGCUGAAGCAACAAAUGCCCUGCUUCCAGGAAAAGCCUCUAAGCAUCAGGUAACAUCAAAUCGUACCCCAAACCGACACAGGUGGUCAGGUAGAGAAUACCAAGGCGCUUGAGAGAACUCGGGUGAAGGAACUAGGCAAAAUGGUGCCGUAACUUCGGGAGAAGGCACGCUGAUAUGUAGGUGAAGCGACUUGCUCGUGGAGCUGAAAUCAGUCGAAGAUACCAGCUGGCUGCAACUGUUUAUUAAAAACACAACACUGUGCAAACACGAAAGUGGACGUAUACGGUGUGACGCCUCCCCGGUGCCGGAAGGUUAAUUGAUGGGGUCAGCGCAAGCGAAGCUCUUGAUCGAAGCCCCGGUAAACGGCGGCCGUAACUAUAACGGUCCUAAGGUAGCGAAAUUCCUUGUCGGGUAAGUUCCGACCUGCACGAAUGGCGUAAUGAUGGCCAGGCUGUCUCCACCCGAGACUCAGUGAAAUUGAACUCGCUGUGAAGAUGCAGUGUACCCGCGGCAAGACGGAAAGACCCCGUGAACCUUUACUAUAGCUUGACACUGAACAUUGAGCCUUGAUGUGUAGGAUAGGUGGGAGGCUUUGAAGUGUGGACGCCAGUCUGCAUGGAGCCGACCUUGAAAUACCACCCUUUAAUGUUUGAUGUUCUAACGUGGACCCGUGAUCCGGGUUGCGGACAGUGUCUGGUGGGUAGUUUGACUGGGGCGGUCUCCUCCUAAAGAGUAACGGAGGAGCACGAAGGUUGGCUAAUCCUGGUCGGACAUCAGGAGGUUAGUGCAAUGGCAUAAGCCAGCUUGACUGCGAGCGUGACGGCGCGAGCAGGUGCGAAAGCAGGUCAUAGUGAUCCGGUGGUUCUGAAUGGAAGGGCCAUCGCUCAACGGAUAAAAGGUACUCCGGGGAUAACAGGCUGAUACCGCCCAAGAGUUCAUAUCGACGGCGGUGUUUGGCACCUCGAUGUCGGCUCAUCACAUCCUGGAGCUGAAGUAGGUCCCAAGGGUAUGGCUGUUCGCCAUUUAAAGUGGUACGCGAGCUGGGUUUAGAACGUCGUGAGACAGUUCGGUCCCUAUCUGCCGUGGGCGCUGGAGAACUGAGGGGGGCUGCUCCUAGUACGAGAGGACCGGAGUGGACGCAUCACUGGUGUUCGGGUUGUCAUGCCAAUGGCACUGCCCGGUAGCUAAAUGCGGAAGAGAUAAGUGCUGAAAGCAUCUAAGCACGAAACUUGCCCCGAGAUGAGUUCUCCCUGACUCCUUGAGAGUCCUGAAGGAACGUUGAAGACGACGACGUUGAUAGGCCGGGUGUGUAAGCGCAGCGAUGCGUUGAGCUAACCGGUACUAAUGAACCGUGAGGCUUAACCUG